rnacentral:rRNA from 1 species
UACGUAGGGUGCAAGCGUUAAUCGGAAUUACUGGGCGUAAAGCGUGCGCAGGCGGUUUUGUAAGUCUGUCGUGAAAUCCCCGGGCUCAACCUGGGAAUGGCGAUGGAGACUGCAAGGCUAGAGUUUGGCAGAGGGGGGGUAGAAUUCCACGUGUAGCAGUGAAAUGCGUAGAGAUCAUGAGGAAGACCAGUGGCGAAGGCGGGUCUCUGGACAGUUCCUGACACUGAGACACGAAGGCCAGGGGGAGCAAA